rnacentral:rRNA from 1 species
UACCUGGCCGUAAACCAAGAUGGUUCAACUAUACCACCAUCUGCCAGAGAAUUACAAGUGAAAAACUUAAAACUCUAAGGACUUGACGGUGCCCCACACCAGCCUAGAGGAGCCUGUCCUGUAAUCGAUACUCCACGCUCCACCUCACCCCCCCUUGCAAAACCCGCCUAUAUACCGCCGUCGCCAGCCCACCUACUGAUAGCAACAAAAGUCGGCACAAUAGCACCCCGCUAGUACGUCAGGUCAAGGUGUAGCUCAUGGGGAGGACUAAGAUGGGCUACAUUUGCUAGCUCAUAGCAAACCACACUAAAAGCCCUAUGAAACAAGGGCCCACAGGCGGAUUUAGCAGUAAACUCCGGGCAAGACCUGCCCGCUUGAACCCCGCUC